UACGGAGGGUGCAAGCGUUAUCCGGAUUCACUGGGUUUAAAGGGUGCGUAGGCGGGCAGGUAAGUCCGUGGUGAAAUCUCUGAGCUUAACUCAGAAACUGCCAUGGAUACUAUUUGUCUUGAAUAUUGUGGAGGUAAGCGGAAUAUGUCAUGUAGCGGUGAAGUGCUCAGAUAUGACAUAGAACACCAAUUGCGAAGGCAGCUUACUACACAGUUAUUGACGCUGAGGCACGAAAGCGUGGGGAUCAAACAGG
rnacentral:rRNA from 1 species